GAUGAACGCUAGCGGCAGGCUUAAUACAUGCAAGUUGAGGGGCAGCAUGAUAUACGCGAGUAUAUUGAUGGCGACCGGCGGACGGGUGAGUAAUAGGUAGGAGACCUACCUCAUACAGGGGGAUAGCAUAGAGAAAUCUGUGGUAAUACCCCAUGAGGUUAUAUGAAUAGAGGCAUAUAAUCAAAGCAUAAGCGAUUAUGCGGUAUGAGAGGGGCCUACUGACCAUUAGCUAGUUGGUGAGGUAAGGGCUCACCAAGGCGAAGAUGGUUAGGGGUUUUGAGGGAGAGACCCCCCACAUUGGAACUGAGAGACGGUCCAGACUCCUACGGGAGGCAGCAGUAGGGAAUAUUGGGCAAUGGGCGAAAGCCUGACCCAGCCAUGCCGCGUGAAGGAAGACGGCCUUAUGGGUUGUAAACUUCUUUACUACGCGAAUAGAGGUUAGUACGAGAUACUAAUAGGAAGGUAGUGUAGUAAAAAGCACCGGCUAACUCCGUGCC
rnacentral:rRNA from 1 species